UGCCAGCCGCCGCGGUAACACGGGGGGCGCAAGCGUUAUUCGGAAUUAUUGGGCGUAAAGGGCGCGCAGGCGGUCUUGUCCGUCAGGUGUGAAAGCCCGGGGCUCAACCCCGGAACUGCAUUCGAAACUGUCAGGCUUGAAUACGGGAGAGGGAAGCGGAAUUCCUGGUGUAGAGGUGAAAUUCGUAGAUACCAGGAGGAACACCAGUGGCGAAAGCGGCUUCCUGGCCCGAUAUUGACGCUCAUGUACGAAAGCGUGGGGAGCAAACAGGAUUAGAUA
rnacentral:rRNA from 1 species